rnacentral:lncRNA from 1 species
UAGAUCGUUAGCUUCUUGAGAUCUGAGACUUUGCUUUUCUUUGUAUGCUCUUAACGUCGUGAGUGAGAGCUUCAUAAAUGCUCAUUGACUGACUCAUUUAUGUAAUGCUAUGACUUAGACCGUGGAGGUCUUUGGCUCUUUCGUUUUCACGUCCUUUCCCAAUUCACGCUAACUUGAAACUUUUUUUCAGUUCCUACAGUAACAGGGUAAAGUGUCUAUUUUUGUUGUUCAGGCGUUUUUGAGCAGUGUCUGGCCCUCUGUGACCCCAUUUGGCAAAGAGGCAGGAGUGGUUUGCCAUUUCCUUCUCCAGCUCAUUUGAUAGAUGAGCAAAAUGAGACAAACAAGUUAAGUGACUUGCCCAGGGUCACCCAGCAGCCCGGCUGAGAUAACAUCUGAACUCAGGAACCUAGCAAAAGGAAACAGAUCUGCAGUUUACUGUCUACACCGCUUUGGACAAGCUAACUCAUCCUUGCCUUGUGUAAAAUGUGGAGACUGGAUGAGACGACGUCAUAGGAUCCCAGGUUUGACAGAUGAAGACUCUAAGACCCAGAGGGGGGGAGGCACUUGCAAAGGUAAGUAGUGGAAGCAGAAGAGGAACCUAGUUCUCAAAAGCUCACACUCCAUAUAUUCAUAUUCUUAGAAUUCAGACAGCAAAAAUGGAUUGAAUGAGAAUUUUGAGUAGUGAGAAUAUCCAUUCACAUUUAUAUAGUGCUUGCAGGUUUAUAAAUUUUUUUCUUUAUGGCAACUCUAUGAAAUGGGUAUCACAAAUAGGAUAAUGGGUUUUAGAGCCGAAAGGGCCCUCAGAAAUCAUCUAAUCUAAACCUUUAUUUUAUUGAUGAGGAAACUGAGGUCCAUUAGGAAAAAAUGAACUUCUCAUGGUCAUACAAAUAGUAACAAUGGGAUCUGAGACUCAAAUCAUGGUGUCUUACUGCCACAUGCCCUGAUUUUUCCUCUAUAUAAAG